UCCUGACCAGGGCCUGGUGCGC
rnacentral:piRNA from 1 species